UAGGGAAUUUUCGGCAAUGGACGAAAGUCUGACCGAGCAAUGCCGCGUGAAUGAUGAAAUUCUUCGGAAUGUAAAAUUCUGUUAUUUGUGGAAGAAAGGUAUUACUAGGAAAUGAGUAGUAUUUGACGGUACCAAAUGAGAAAGCCCCGGCUAACUAUGUGCCAGCAGCCGCGGUAAUACAUAGGGGGCAAGCGUUAUCCGGAAUUAUUGGGCGUAAAGCGUGCGUAGGCGGUAAGGAAAGUCUGGCGUGAAAUAUCAUGGCUUAACCAUGAGAGGUCGUUGGAAACUGUCUUACUUGAAUCCAGAAGAGGUAAGUGGAAUUCCAUGUGUAGCGGUAAAAUGCAUAGAUAUAUGGAGGAACACCAGUGGCGAAGGCGGCUUACUGGUCUGGCAUUGACGCUGAGGCACGAAAGCGUGGGUAGCAAACAGG
rnacentral:rRNA from 2 species